rnacentral:rRNA from 1 species
CGGCUCAGUAACACGUGGAUAACUGCCCUAAGGUGGAGGAUAACCCCGGGAAACUGGGGAUAAUACUCCAUAGGUUAAAGGUACUGGAAUGUUCUUUAACCGAAAGUUCCGGCGCUUUAGGAUGGAUCUGCGGCCGAUUAGGUUGUUGUUGGGGUAGUGGCCCAACAAGCCUGUAAUCGGUACGGGUUGUGGGAGCAAGAGCCCGGAGAUGGAAUCUGAGACACGAUUCCAGGCCCUACGGGGCGCAGCAGGCGCGAAAACUUUACAAUGCAGGAAACUGUGAUAAGGGAACCCCGAGUGCCCGUAUAUGCGGGCUGUCCGGAUGUUUAAAACGCAUCCGAAGAAAGGGCCGGGCAAGACCGGUGCCAGCCGCCGCGGUAAUACCGGCGGCUCGAGUGGUGGCCACUUUUAUUGGGCUUAAAGCGUUCGUAGCUUGAAUAAUAAGUCUCUUGGGAAAUCUGCAGGCUUAACCUGCAGGCGUUUAAGAGAAACUGUUGUUCUAGGAACCGGAAGAGGUGAGAGGUACUCCGGGGGUAGGAGUGAAAUCCUGUAAUCCCCGGGGGACCACCGAUGGCGAAGGCAUCUCACCAGGACGGCUUCGACAGUGAGGAACGAAAGCUGGGGGAGCGAACCGGAUUAGAUACCCGGGUAGUCCCAGCCGUAAACGAUGUGCGUUAGGUGUGCCGGUGACCACGAGUCACUGGGGUGCCGAAGGGAAACCGUGAAACGUACCGCCUGGGAAGUACGGUCGCAAGGCUGAAACUUAAAGGAAUUGGCGGGGGAGCACAAGGG